rnacentral:rRNA from 1 species
GAUGAACGCUGGCGGCGUGCUUAACACAUGCAAGUCGAACGGUGAAGGCGGAUCUUGCUCUGCUGGAUCAGUGGCGAAAGGGUGAGUAACGCGUGAGCAAUCUGCCCCUGACUCAGGGAUAAGCGCUGGAAACGGCGUCUAAUACUGGGUACGAGCUUCGAAGACAUCUUCAGCAGCUGGAAAGAAAUUCGGUCAGGGAUGAGCUCGCCGCCUAUCAGCUUGUUUGUGAGGUACUGGCUCACCAAGGCGUCGCCGGGUAGCCGGCCUGAUAGGGUCACCGGCCACACUGGGACUGAGACACGGCACAGACUCAUACGCGAGGCAACAGUGGGGAAUAGUGCACAAUGGGAGAAAGCGUGAUGUAGCGACGCCGCGUGAGGGACGACGGCAUUCGGUUUGUAAUCCACUUUUAGAUGAGAAGAAGAGAAAGUGACGGUACCUGCAGAAAAAGCGCCGGCUAACUACGUG